rnacentral:lncRNA from 1 species
UUUUGCUAAGGAUGUAUUUUAGGUUUGACUCUGCCGCUAUUGAAUGGGAUGCCUAAAACCAGCUUUUUUGCCUCUUUGGAUUUCAGGAUGCUCCUGUUGUAUGAUUUGAUGAAUCUUGGAAUUCAAGUAUUUGUGUAGCACUGGGUCUAGAGAGAGGCUGACAUUCAGUGAAGUACCAGGUUCAAAUAAUUAGAAGAUUUUAAUUCAGAACAGUGAUUCCACCUCUCUUGGAACAGUCAUAUCUGCUGAGAAGUUUAAGGAAGGAACCUUGAGAAAGCAUCAGAGGUGGCUUUGGAGGUGGAAUCUAAAGAAACUAGAGGAGAGAAGAAAGGAAGAAUGGAUUACAAAAGAUGAGCAAGAUGCCUGGAAUUUCACA